rnacentral:rRNA from 1 species
UACGGAGGGUGCAAGCGUUAAUCGGAAUUACUGGGCGUAAAGCGUGCGCAGGCGGUUUGUUAAGUCUGAUGUGAAAUCUCACAGCUUAACUGUGAAACUGCAUUGGAUACUAUCCGGCUCGAGGAAUGGAGGGGAGACUGGAAUACUUGGUGUAGCAGUGAAAUGCGUAGAUAUCAAGUGGAACACCAGUGGCGAAGGCGAGUCUCUGGACAUUUCCUGACGCUGAGGCACGAAAGCCAGGGGAGCAAACGGG